rnacentral:tRNA from 1 species
CAAGGAAUAGUUUAGUGUAAGAAUCCUAGCUUUGGGAGUUAGGGGCAGGAGUUAAAGUCUCCUUUUCUUGA